UACGAGGGGGGGCAAGCGUUGUUCGGAAUUAUUGGGCGUAAAGGGUGCGUAGGCGGUUUGGUAAGUCUUAUGUGAAAUCUACAGGCUCAACUUGUAGUCUGCAUGAGAAACUGCCGGGCUUGAGUAUGGGAGAGGUGAGUGGAAUUCCUGGUGUAGCGGUGAAAUGCGUAGAUAUCAGGAGGAACACCUGUGGCGAAAGCGGCUCACUGGACCAUAACUGACGCUGAGUGCACGAAA
rnacentral:rRNA from 1 species